GUAUAGAUAUUUAGUUUGAAUGCAGAAAUUAGAUAAGAACUAUAGGUAUGCCAGCUCACAUCAUAACAUCGGAUAAACAAUAUAAGGAUACAAGCGGCGUUUAGCAAUGUUUGUUUAAAAUAUUUUUUUAAAUUUGUAAGUUUUAUAUGUGUCGUGAUUUCACAGUUAUGGAUAUACUUGUGGAAUGUGAUAUUUAUUAUCUGUUUAAUCUUUUAAUGAUGGAACUGGUGUUUGGAUAGCCUGGCUUCAAAAUUGGACCAAAUAAAGACUCAGAUGUUAAGACAACGAUGAUGGUGAAUGGGGGCGAUGAUAAUGUUAAUCACGAUGCAUGGUGAAGAUGAUGAUGAUACCGAUUUGAUGACAAUGACAAAUGUUAGUGAUGCUGCUGAUGAUGAUGAUAAUUGUGAUGACGCAAUAAUAAUUAUGAUGAAUAAAAUGAAGAAAAUAAAGGUGCUAAAGCUUCAAGUAAUGAUAAUAAUGAUUGUGAUAGUCGUGAAGGUGAGUAGCACUCUUAAACAAUGUUGACCAAGCAUCAAAGGCAGCCACAAUCACACGAUUUGAACAAUGCCUAAAAGAAAUCAUCUCAUGGAUGAAUUCAAACAUGUUAAAAUUGAAUGUAGACAAAACUGAAGUAAUUCUUUUUUCGAGUCAAAAACACUCCAAACAUGUUGAAAAUCUAGAACUGAAAGUUGGCGAAUCGAGCAUAAGACCAUCAAAAACUGUUCGAAACCUUGGUGCUACGCUUGAUUCGAACAUGCACAUGGACCAUCAUGUUAAUUCUGUGACUCGAACAUGCUACGGCCAAUUACGACACGUUGGUCAUAUUCGACCAUAUUUGACAACUGAAGCCACAAAAACCCUGAUAAACUCGCUUGUGACCUCACGAUUAGAUUACUGCAAUGCUCUUUUGUACGGCGUGCCAAAAUCAACAACGAGCAAACUGCAAAAUGUCCAAAACACAGCUGCACGUCUUAUUACGAAAACCACCCGUUUUGAACAUAUAAACCAAUCCUUAAAGAUCUUCAUUGGCUUCAAAUACAAGAUAGAAUCAAAUACAAAAUUCUCAUUCAAACAUUCAAGGCCUUGCAUGGACAGUCGCCGGUGUAUAUGAGAGACUUACUGGAGAUGUACGUGCCAACUCGAAAUCUGAGGUCAGCAAAUGCAGCAACAACCCUUGUGCCACAAAAAAGUCGACUGGUUACCUACGGGGAUAGAAGUUUCAGGGUUGCCGCCGCAAACCUAUGGAACUCUCUCCCUGACAAUCUCAGAAAAGAUUCAUCACUUAAUUCAUUCAAAAGAGCUCUCAAAACACACCUUUUCAAAAUUUUCUACAGCACAUAGAUACCAACUGUGACUUUUUCUACUCAUAAUAAAUAUGCCAUUGUUAUUUUUAUAAUACAGAACUACAGCAAGUCAUUCGUCGCUGACGAAGAUCUCUUAACUGUACAAUUCAUCAUGUAAUUAACUAAAUUGACAAUCCAUCUUUUGUUUCAUCAUGUCACAUUUUAAGGGUUAUGACGUUCUAUGUGUGUGUUUUUCGCAAGACUUGAGUUUCACUUGAAAUGUGUGGUAUUUCUAUCUAAUACAGUACAUGACGGCACCAUUUACCGGGAGGUUGAACCACUAUAUGCAGUCCGUCUGGGCGUACCAGAUGUUUAAAGCACUGGUAUUGGCAACAGGGGUAAAACGGCCUCAAGGGUGGGGGUGCGGUCAUGGCUGUUUGUUACAAUAAGGCUGUGAAUAUUAUCAUAGUUCAUUUAUGAUAUUGUUGUAAUAACUAUUAUUUUUUAUUAUUAUGUACAAUGCCAUUGAAUAUAUCAUUUAUAAAAAAGGCGUUUAAUCAAAUUGUUCAGUUUCAGUUUUGUGAUUGCAUAUGUCAUGUUUUGUUAUUUUCCUACAUAUCUGUGAUGUGUCACAUGUUUAAUUGUAAAGCGCCUUUGAACGUAUAUUACAUAUGGAAAGGGCGCUCAACAAAUCUGGUAUAAUAAUAAUAAUAAUAAUAAUAAUAAUAAUAAUAAUAGUACAUAUGCCAAAUAGUUUAAACAGUUCAACAUAUUUAUAAACAUAAAAAGAAAAACAUAUAAAUGUUUUAAAACAGUGAAAAUGAUAAAAUGACAUGAUAAAACAAACAGUUCACUAUCUAAGAUAUACACAUACAUUAACUAAGACGUUUCCAGUUUUGCAUACGUAUAUCAAGUGAUGAUGGUGACGGCGAUGAUAUAGGAAAUGGUGAUGAAAGAAAAGACGAUCAUUGUGUUAAUGGUAAUGGUUGUUGAGAUGACGAUAAUGAUGUUGAUAAUAUAAUGAUAGUCAUGAUGAUAUGAAUGGUAAUUUGGCGUUGAUUAUGACUUUGCUGGUGGUAAUUUUGACAAUGGUUAUGAUGGUUAUGGUCGUGCUGCUGCUGUUGGUGGUGGUGAUUGUGACGGUAAUGUUACUGAUGAUGUAAAUGUUGGUAAUGAUAAUGACGGUAGGUAAAUAAGUACGUUUUUACGUAAGCAACAACUUGAUUUUAAUGACAUACAUUAAUGACAUAAGUUAGGUCUACUAUCAACAUACAUAAAUGCAUACAUGUACAAAAUGCUGUAUAUACAAUAUUUACAAGGGUUUGACACAUUAAACUAUAUAAAAACAUGAAAUUUAAGAAGAAACAGUUCAUAUUUUAAGUAUUUACAUGUAAUAACCAAGGCGUUCUCAUUUAGAACAAGCUUAAGUAAUUAUUUGGCCUAGAGUACCGUUUUAGUUAAGACAUCACUAUGACUUAAUUUAGACACUAACUAUUUUAUUCAAGUCAGGAACCAUAAAUGCUAUGUCGACGGUCAGAUUGUUGGUGAUAUUGAUGAUCAUGGUUAUUAUGAUGGCGAUGUUGACGAUGAUGACGAUAAUGAUAGCAAAGGUGGUGUUGAUGUAAUGAUGGUAAUGAUCAUUCUCUUCGAGAUGGUGAUGACGAUAAUGAUGGUGAUCGUGGCGAAAUUGGAUAUGGUGAUAGUUGAAUUGAUGAUGCUCUGGAAGAACCAUCUGAAUAAACUUGAGGGAGAACCAUUCACCAGAAGUCGUUGUUUAAAGAGGAUGUAGACUAUCGAACAGUGCUUAAUUAGAAAAUACAAAAUGCAUAAGAUAUAAAUUAUGUUAUGAUCUUACUUGAAGAUGUCAUUUGCCGCAAUGCUGAACUAUAAACAACCACUUCUUUUUGCACAAUGUUGAUUUAUACACAACUUCCAAUACAUGUACAGGUUCAGAAUCAAAUACAGUCAGCAAAAUAUCACCAUUAUGAUGACCUCCUGCACGGAAAAAGGAACUGUUUUACAGCUGUAAAACGUCUGUAAAUGAACUGUAUUUUGAAAUUACAGCUGUAAAAGACCUGCAAGUAGAAAAUGACCAGAAAUACAAUUGAAAUUUACAGGUGUAAAACAUGCAGUUCUCAAAAAAUACAGCUGUGAAAAAUUACAUUUGAAAGUUACAGCUGUAAAAUGUUCAUGUCUCAAAAUUACAGCUGUAAAUUGUUUGGAGGGAAACAUUGUCAGCAAGUACUGUCAGCCAUCUUUAAUUAAAUUUGGCGGGAUAUAACUGAAGUUCACAAAGAAACUACAUUUUCUAAAAUAUUGGAAUUCUAACCAUUAUAGAGUAAGUGCAACUGUAUUAUUAUUUAAUAUAGUUAUAAAAGGACAUAUAUAUGUACAUGCAUUAACUAUUGACACAUUAUUUGAAGCUGAUAAGUUUAAGUGAAAUAAUUACAAAAUUGUCAUAUGUUUUCAUGACAAAGAGGGAAAACAAGAUCUGAUGCACAGUAUCUACUUUGACUAUCCUACUCUUGAAUUUUGCAAAUGCUAUACUGUAAACAUAUUUCAUUACUGUUUUCUUUUUACUUACAAGAUAAUUUAUUUUGCUAUUUUUGUAGUAAUUGCUACUUUUUCUAGAAAAUUACAAUUCAUCCUAAAACUUUUUGUACCUCUGCUUUCGUCCCUUAAAAUAA